rnacentral:rRNA from 1 species
CAGUUCGGCUGGAUCGGUGACAGGUGCUGCAUGGCUGUCGUCAGCUCGUGUCGUGAGAUGUUGGGUUAAGUCCCGCAACGAGCGCAACCCUUGUCCUUAGUUGCCAGCAUUCAGUUGGGCACUCUAAGGAGACUGCCGGUGUCAAACCGGAGGAAGGUGGGGAUGACGUCAAGUCCUCAUGGCCCUUAUGUCCUGGGCUACACACGUACUACAAUGGCCGUUACAACGGGAAGCGAAGGAGCAAUCCGGAGCAAAUCCCUUAAAGGCGGUCCCAGUUCAGAUUGUGGGCUGAAACUCGCCCACAUGAAGGCGGAAUUGCUAGUAAUUGCAGAUCAGCAUGCUGCAGUGAAUACGUUCCCGGGCCUU